rnacentral:rRNA from 1 species
ACGGGGUGCAGCAGGCGCGAAAACUUCACACUGGGGGAAACCCCGAUGAGGGAAUUCCUAGUGCCAGGGCUUUUUGUCCUGGCUUUUCUCCAGCGUAGAUUACUGGAGGAAUAAGGGCUGGGUAAGACGGGUGCCAGCCGCCGCGGUAAUACCUGCAGCCCGAGUGGUGGUCGAUUUUAUUGAGUCUAAAACGUUCGUAGCCGGUCCGGUAAAUCCCUGGGUAAAUCGGGAAGCUCAACUUCCCGAAUUCCGGGGAGACUGCCGGACUUGGGACCGGGAGAGGCUAGAGGUACUUCUGGGGUAGGGGUAAAAUCCUGUAAUCCUGGAAGGACCACCGGUGGCGAAGGCGUCUAGCUAGAAUGGAUCCGACGGUGAGGGACGAAGCCCUGGGUCGCAAACGGGAUUAGAUACCCCGGUAGUCCAGGGUGUAAACGCUGCAAGACUUGGUGUUGGGGGCCCUUCGGGGGCGUCCAGUGCCGGAGAGAAGUUGUUAAGUCUGCUACUUGGGGAGUAACGUCCGCAAGGAUGAAACUUAAAGGAAUUGGCGGGGGAGCAC